AACUUCAUCACAGGUAGCACUCUUCAAUUCAUCUGGGACUGAAGAAUUGAAAACUGAACUGACAGUCAAGCACCGUUCAUACCGUUCCAACAUUCUUUUGAUCUUUUCUUUUGAUACACCAUGAACAUUUCGUCUAAAGAUUAAAAAGAACAAUAUCUGAGAUUGAAUACCACAAUAAAGAGCCUAUUCCAGCUUUUCCUGAAUACAUUUGAGACACCUAUUAAACAUUUAUUAAUCAGAAGCUGCUUCCUGUGAUAUCGCAAUUCAAGAGCAGGAGUCAAUACAAGACAAUUCCAUGCUGGCUAGCGAAAUGACUUCUGGAACUGCACCACUGUCAAGUACAACUUCAGAAAGGCCUUCUGCCAGCACAAAUCUGAGAAGUUGAUCUGCACUGGUUCCUCCUGUGUACUGCAGCCCUCAGCACUGUAUCCCAUCCUGGGGGGAAGACCUACAACAUUUGGAUGUCUCCACUUGUGCAAUCAAAAGUAGUUUCCACAAAGGCAAAACCACCAUUGGAUACAACCCUGAAUAUUUAAUCAAUAUGAUCACAAAGAAGAAACAGGAAAAUAAAUUAUGGUUGAGAGAAAAAGCCUAUAUACAAACAAGAAAAAUUACAAGAGUGCUGACAGUGUCAUGGAGAACAUGGAUUACAUGGAAAUUGGAGAAGAACCACUCAGUAGGGGGAAAGAAGGCAAGUCCACCCUGGCCCCUCUUGCCCUGGUUAACAUAAGCCAGCAAGUGAUGAUUGUCUGCCACUUCAUAUCCCACCCCUCCCACUUAGGAUUGUUCUCUAAGGCUGCAAACCUAUACUCACUUACCUGGGAGUAAGCCCCAUUAAAUUCUGCAUGAGUAGAUAUAUAUAACUGUUCCCAAAUAUCGACAAGCAUUCGCUAAGGCUAAAUUCAAUUGCUUAACCUCAGCAGUGCUAAUAAUAAUAAUAAUAAAAUUUUAUUUUUGAGUUGCCUAUCUGGCCGAGUGAACAGCCACUCUAGGCGACAUACAAAAUACAAUACCAUAAAAUACAAUAUAAAAACCAAGAAGGACCAUAAUCAGUAAUAAAUAAAACACCAGUUGGUAACAGAGUUAAAAGACUAACCCACCCCAGCAAUCCCAUAGGUCUGUCUGAACAACCAGGUCUUCAAGGUCCGGCGGAAACUUGACAGGGAGGGGGCAUGGCGAAGGUCGAACGGGAGGGAAUUCCAGAGGGUGGGAGCCACGAUCGAGAAUGCCCUCUCUCUAGUCCGCACCAGCCUAGCUAGUUUAACUGGUGGGACCGAGAGAAGGUCUUGUGUGGCUGAUCUUGUCAGGUGGCAUAAUUGGUGAUGCUGGAAGGGAGAUAUCAGGGAACAGUAUAUAACCAACGUAUCUGUCCCUGUAAGGUGGGUAGCAUAGAAACGCUUUCACAUGUUUUCUUUACCUGCCCACUAUAUUCGUCUGAACGCUAUAAAUAUAUAUUUCCGAUCACUAAAAAAUUUCCUAAUAAAUCUCUGGAGGGUUUGUUAUCCUGUCUUCUGACAGGCUCAAAUAGGUCCCGUACAAUCUUAGUUGCUAAAUUUGUUCACGCAGCUCAACUCAAACGGUUAAAAUCCUGUCAUUGAAAAUCUUAAUCCAGAUUUUAUUUGUUGUUUUAUUCUA